rnacentral:rRNA from 1 species
UACGUAGGGUGCGAGCGUUGUCCGGAAUUAUUGGGCGUAAAGGGCUCGUAGGCGGUUUGUCGCGUCGGGAGUGAAAACAUCCAGCUUAACUGGGUGCUUGCUUUCGAUACGGGCAGACUUGAGGUAUGCAGGGGAGAAUGGAAUUCCUGGUGUAGCGGUGAAAUGCGCAGAUAUCAGGAGGAACACCGGUGGCGAAGGCGGUUCUCUGGGCAUUACCUGACGCUGAGGAGCGAAAGUGUGGGGAGCGAACAGGAUUAGAAACCCCGGUA